rnacentral:tRNA from 1 species
GGGCCUGUAGCUCAGUUGGUAGAGCGCUGCUUUUGCAAGGCAGAUGUCGUCGGUUCGAAUCCGAUCAGGUCCA